rnacentral:lncRNA from 1 species
CUUUUGACAAUACACAAAUAUAGGGCUGCCAAGUUUGAUGAGUGUAACAAACAAAUAGAGCCCUGAGAUACAGAGUAACACUCGGGGCCCACUUCCAGAGGGUAGCAGGGAAAGACAGUCAGCAAUCUUCAGCGGAGGCCUGAAGUCUGAGAAGGCCAGUCCCAGAGUUCUUUCAUCAUCAUAGUCAUGGACCAACAUCUCAGCAGUGGGGUCAAAAUCAUGAUCCUCAGAAGACAAAGACCCAACUGGAAUAAAACAAACUAAAUCACUUUACACAUUUACAAGGCUAUUAACAAAAGAAAAUAAAAAUUUGUGUUCUUCUGCC